AGGCAGGGCGUCCUCACCGCCCAGCGCGUGUUCCUCCUGAUGUCCCCCAAGACCCAGGGCAUGCGCGGCCACGGUCGCCGCAAGGGUGAGCGCCGUCGCAAGGCUUGCCGCGGUUGCAUCAUCUCCCCGGACAUCGCCGUCCUCAACCUCAUGAUUGUGAAGCAGGGCGACGCGGCGCUCCCCGGCCUCACCGACGAGGAGAAGCCCCGCAUGCGCGGUCCCAAGCGCGCGUCCAAGAUCCGCAAGCUCUUCGCGCUCUCCAAGGAUGACGACGUUCGCAAGUACGUCAACACCUACCGCCGCGAGUUCGAGUCCGCGACUGGCAAGAAGAAGUCCA
rnacentral:lncRNA from 1 species